AGCGCAAACUACUUAGGCGGAGUUGAUUCAAUUAAAAUACAAAUUUAAAAAAUCUGUUAUAAUGAAAUGAUCUCUGGAAAGAAAAAAUAUUCUUGUUCCUUUUCCUCAACUUUCAUCAAUCAAACUAAUCAUAUUUAUUCAUAGGUAUAAAUUUUUAAAUAUUUCAUUGUCAAAGGCUGUACAAACACUGGAUUAGGAAGAGCUAGUAUUUAGAAUUUUAAUUGAGGAAAUAAUAGAGUUAACAAAAAAAAAUGCAAACUAUAUCCCAAUUUGCAAUCGGUACUCACUUUUUGAUAAGUAACAAAGAUUGCUGCACUUGAUUUUAAUAAGUUUCAUUUGUGGUAAAGUCAAUACACUCAUUUAUUUACAUGUAAAAUCAACCUAUAAAAGUCUGGUGGUGGUGGCAUGUUGUUCUUUUUUUUUUUUUUUCUAAGGCACACACUGUUAGUUUUUGUGACAUAAUAGCAGUAAGUGUGUACCCUUAUGUUCUGUGGAUAUAUUUCAACGUUGGGUUGGAUAGUAAAUUGAUACUAGUAAUUGAAUGAGUAUAUUCAACAUUCUGUUCUGUUAGUUUUUGUGGCGUAAUAUUUUGAUAAUUCCUAAAAAAUAAAAAUGACAACUGCAUAUUUGAGCAUAUUUUGGAUUUUUCCUGAUUUAAAAUAAGUAAUAUAUUAUUAAGUUUAAUGUGUAACUGUAUACACUAGAUUCAUUCAAUUACCCGCAGGUUCUCAAAGUCAAAAACCAUGCAGCAUUGAUCACAAAACUAGAAAAUUGGAAAAACAUCUCCUAGGCCAAAUUGACCAGUUUGGUUCUUUCCAACCAAUAAUUUUCUCCACUGGUCUGGUUUUUCCAAAUUCAUUGUGAUUCUUUUGAUAACUCAUUUUGUCCCAACACAUCUAGUUUGUUGUUUAAAAUCAUUUUAAGCAGGCAUCUCUUAAAGCAGUAGAUUGGUUAGCGGUUUCAUAAAAUACAUGCUUAAGAUAUUUAGGCCCUCUUAGACAAUAGAUAGGUGAAGGGGGAUGUCAACCAAAGGAUUAAAGCAAGAUGAGUGGAGCGAAUAAGUGCAUGAUGGGUAGUGUUAGACAUUUAAAAACUUAUUUUUGGACUCUUACUUUUGGGUUCUAGCUUUCAGAUUGAAUGAUUCUUUAAUGAACAUAUCUAAUUUAGGUUCUUCUUCUAAGAAUUCAAAUCUUGCUGCUGUUUAACUGAUUUCAUGGCAUGGAUGAAAGCAAUUUGGAAGGUGAAGUUUUUGUGGUUGAAAAGAUCCAUGAAAGCCAAAACUGACAAAAAACAUAUCAUGAACAGUCACAGCACAACCCAUGUUUUACAUUUAUUGUCUACCCAGAUAACUACUCACGCAGGUGAGUAAUGCAGAUGAUGUUUAUUCUGCCCUGCAAACUAAAAUUAGAAUUCUAUCAAGUUCCAUGACUGCAAUACCUCAAAUAAAAAGAAAAAAAAAAACAUUAAUUUCUAUGUACAUUCUAUCAUAAAAUGCAUUAUAAAUAUAUUAAUUACCUUUAGUCAAUUAACUUGUCAUCAAGCAAGGCACGCUUUGGUAUUAAAUUAUUUAGUUACUUGAUGCUUCUAGAUGUAAGAUCAAUAAUUCAUAUUUUUUGGAUUUCAGGUGGGUCACUUUUUUUCAUCCUCUAAUCCGUUUGUAUUCCGUUUUAAAAUGGGUCAUAAAAUAAAACAAAUAAGAGAGCAAUUAGAUGAAAUUGCAUCUCAUAAGACUAACUUUCAUCUCAAUGAACGAGACCAAGGUAGGCGUGUUAUGUCUAGGGAAAGAGCGAUGACCUACUCCUUUGUAAAUGUGUCUGAUGUUAUAGGAAGAGAUGAGGAUAAAGAAAAUAUCAUCAGACUUUUACAAAAGCCUAAUGAUGGUGGAAAAAUCGAUGUUAUUCCUAUUGUUGGAAUUGGUGGUUUGGGGAAGACUGCACUCUCUAAAUUAGUUUAUAAUGAUGAACGAGUACAAAAUCAUUUUCAACUUAAGAUGUGGGUUUGUGUAUCAGAAGAUUUUGACAUUCAAAAAUUGACCAAGGAAAUUAUUAAAUGUACAAACAGUGCAGAAAACUUAAGUGAAAAGGGAAUGGAACAAUUGCAAAGUAUCUUGCGAGAACGAAUUCGUGAUAAGAAAUACUUGCUCAUUUUAGAUGAUGUGUGGAAUGAUGAUCCUAUGAAAUGGGAUCCAUUGAAAGAGCUUUUGUGUGUGGGUGCCAAUGGAAGCAAAAUCGUGGUUACUACACGUAGUAAGAAAGUAGCCUCCAUUAUGGGCACCACUCCAACAUAUGAGUUGAAGGGUCUUUCUAAUGAUGAGUGCAUGGAUUUGUUUACUAGAUGGUCAUUUAAAGAAGGGCAAGCCAGCCGAUAUCAGAACUUGUUAAAAAUUGGUGAAGAAAUUGUCAAAAAAUGCAAAGGGGUUCCAUUAGCAGUGAAGACACUAGCAUCACUUCUUUUGACAAAUAAAGAUGAAAGUUAUUGGAAAUUUAUAAGAGAUAGUGAGUUGUGGAAAAUAGAGCAAAAGGAAAAUGACAAAAUUUUACCUGCUUUGAAAUUAAGUUAUGAACAAUUGCCUGCUUAUUUGAAAAAGUGCUUUGCUUAUUGCUCCUUUUAUCCAAAGGACUACGAAUACACAAGUUUUGCAUUAAUUCAAUUUUGGAUGGCACAUGGACUUCUUGAAUCAACAAAUGAAAAUGAAGAUUUAGAAGAUAUUGGGUGGCGCUAUUUUCAGGAGUUGGGGUCUAGAUCUUUUUUUCAAGAUUUUGAGGACUAUGAUUGGUUUAUUAAGUGUAAAAUGCAUGAUCUAGUACAUGAUCUUGCAUUAUCAUUGACACAAAAUGAAUUUUCAGCAAUAACCUCAACCACCACACACAUCUCAAAGAGUGUCCGCCAUCUGUUAUUUCCCGACUUCACUUCACUUCCCCAUGGUCUUUCCACUCUCUUACAAGAUUUAGAGCACGUGCGAACUGCCCUAUUUAUGAGAACUGAGGAAAUCAGUCAAUCAGCCUUGGAUUUCCGUUUGUCAAGAUUAAAAUAUUCGCGGAUGUUGGACUUGUCAGAAUCCAAAUUAGAGGUACCGCUGGAAAGGAUUGGGUCUUUAAAGCAUUUGAGGCUUUUAUUUUUACCUAAAGAUUCUGAAAUUAAAAAGGUCCCCAAUUCUAUUUGCAAGUUACAGAAUUUACAAUCUUUGUUCCUUCGUACUGAGGAGUUACCCAAUGAUAUAAGGUACUUGAUCAGCCUUAGAUUUCUAUAUUUUUCCACAAAGCAGAAGUGUUUGGCAAAGAAUGGACUAGGCUGCUUGACAUCUCUUAGGUUUUUGGGCAUUGUCGGCUCUGAAAAUUUAGAAUACUUGUUUGAAGAUAUGCAAGGCCUCAAACAUCUUCGAACGCUGAUUAUUGCUGAAUGUGAAAGCUUAAUCUCUUUGCCUCAAAGUAUGAAAUACCUCACUGCAUUAGAGACUCUUCUUAUCGAGGAUUGUGAAAACCUCAAUUUGACGAUGAAGGAAGGGAAAGAUGAUCAAGACUUGGCUCGAUUCAGGCUUCAAAAGUUGGAACUUCUAGGAUUACCGAAAUUGGUGGAGUUUCCAGAAUGGCUUCUUCAAGUAUCCACCAACGCCCUGCAAUGCUUAAAAAUAGGAAGUUGUCAAAAGCUUAAAGAAUUGCCUGCGUGCCUACAAAAUAUAGCAUCUCCUCAACAACUCUUUAUUCAAGAUUGUUAUGAAUUGAGCGGAAGAUGUGAACAUGGAAAAGGUCCAUGGGAGUUUGUGAGCUUUAGCUUGGUUUUCAAUACAACUAAGGCUUCCAGUUGAGGCUUCAGAUAUCGAUCACUAUAGGAGUUGUACUACUGGAUUCUCCACAAUGUCUUCAAGGAUCUGCCACUUUAUGGUAUUCUACAUGGGUACUAAUGAACUAGAACAAACCUAGAAUUAGAAAUUUUCAUUUAUUAUAGAAUUUUUUCAUUUUCAUUUUCAUUUUUCAAUUGUUUUAGCAACUUCUCUUUACAAUUUUGCAGAGUUACUAAUGAACUAGUCUUGGAUAAUUACAUCUGACAUGCUCAUCUAACCAAC
rnacentral:misc_RNA from 1 species